UACGUAGGGGGCAAGCGUUGUCCGGAAUUAUUGGGCGUAAAGAGCGCGCAGGCGGUCCGAUAAGUCGGCUGUGAAAGUCAAGGGCUCAACCCUUGAAAGCCGGCCGAUACUGUCGGACUAGAGUCCGGAAGAGGCGAGUGGAAUUCCCGGUGUAGCGGUGAAAUGCGCAGAUAUCAGGAAGAACACCCGUGGCGAAGGCGGUUCUCUGGGACGGUACUGACGCUGAGACGCGAAAGCGUGGGGAGCGAACAGG
rnacentral:rRNA from 1 species